rnacentral:rRNA from 1 species
AUACGUAGGGUGCAAGCGUUAAUCGGAAUUACUGGGCGUAAAGCGUGCGCAGGCGGUUUUGUAAGACAGAGGUGAAAUCCCCGGGCUCCACCUGGGAACUGCCUUUGUUACUGCAAGGCUAGAGUACGGCAGAGGGGGAGGGAAUUCCGCGUGUAGCAGUGGAAUGCGUAGAUAUGCGGAGGAACACCGAUGGCGAAGGCAAUCCCCUGGGCCUGUACUGACGCUCAUGCACGAAAGCGUGGGGAGCAAACAGGAUUAGAUACCCUGGUAGUCCACGCCCUAAACGAUGUCAACUGGUUGUUGGGUCUUCAUUGACUCAGUAACGAAGCUAACGCGUGAAGUUGACCGCCUGGGGAGUACGGCCGCAAGGUUGAGACUCAAAUGAAUUGACGGGG